rnacentral:rRNA from 1 species
GACGAACGCUGGCGGCGUGCUUAACACAUGCAAGUCGAACGGUAAGGCCCUUCGGGGUACACGAGUGGCGAACGGGUGAGUAACACGUGGGUGAUCUGCCCUGCACUUCGGGAUAAGCCUGGGAAACUGGGUCUAAUACCGGAUAGGACUCCUGGCUUCAUGGUUGGGGGUGGAAAGCGUUUGCGGGGUGGGAGGGGUCCGGGGGCUAUCAGGUUGUUGGUGGGGUAAUGGGCUGCCAAGGGGACGACCGGUAGCGGGCCUGAGAGGGUGAUGCGGUCACGCUGGGACUGAGAUACGGCACAGACGCCUACGGGAGGCAGCAGUGGGGAAUAUUGCACAAUGGGCGCACGCCUGAUGCAGCGACGCCGCGUGAGGGAUGACGGCCUUCGGGUUGUAAACCUCUUUCAGCUAUGACGAGGCGCAAGUGACGGUAGUAGCAGAAGAAGGACCGGCCAACUACGUGCCAGCAGCCGCCGUAA